AGCCGGCGGGGCUGCUGCCGCGCUCGGGCCGUCCCGCAUGCGGGCAGCCAGGGGCAAGGAGGGCGCCAGCCUCGCCCGGCCCGGGGGGGCGGCGCUGCUCGGCCUCCUGGCCGCCAGCGCCCUACUCGCCCUGGCCCUCCAGAGCUGCCCGGACGCUGGCCCCUGCUGGGGGGCGAACGGGACGCGGGGCUGCCCCCGGCCUGCCAGGCGGCCUCCCCCGGCUCUGCUGGACGAGCUGAGCCGGCGGCAGCGGGACCUGCGGCGCUUGGCCACCUCUGCCGGGCCCCCGGAGCGGGGGCUGAGCCGCGGCGGCCGCCUGGGCUGCGGGGACCUGAGCCGCGUAACCGGGCUGGGCGUCGUGGGCUCCGGCUUCACCAAGCUGGUGCAGCGAGCGGCGCUGCCGGGGGCCGGAGCCAUCGCCCUCAAGUCGGUGCACCGGGCCGGCGGCGACGUGAGCCGCUGCGUGCAGCGCUACGGGCACCCCGCCGGCUGCCGCAGGCUGGCCAGCUACAAGCUGCUCAAGGAGGUGACCCUGCUGCAGCGCCUCGACCACCCCGGCGUCGUCAAGUUGCAUGGUCAGUGCUAUGAUAAUAGCUUAGAUCCUGAAAUAAGGGUCACAGCUAUGCUGGAGCUGGGAUCCCCUCUGGAGAUGAUUCAGCUUCUGCAGACUCCCUGGGAGGAGAGAUUUAAAAUUUGCCUGAGUCUAGUGAAACUGCUGUUUUACCUGGCACAUUCCCCUCUGGGUUCAAUAGUCCUCUUGGAUUUCCAGCCAAGGCAGUUUGUUAUGGUGGAUGGAAACUUAAAAGUGACAGACAUGGACGAUGCCAGCACUGAGGAACUGUCAUGCAAGGAAGAUAAUGACUGCACACUAGACUUCCCUGCAAAAAGCUUCAUUCUCAAAUGUAGUGCAGCUGGGAAAUGUGAUGGACUAAAUGAAAAGAAGAAUCUUUUUAAUGCAUACCGGUAUUUUUUCACGUAUCUUUUGCCACACACUGCACCUUCUGCUUUGCGGCCCCUUCUGGGUGAUAUUCUGAAUGGAACAGGUGAUUUACGAUAUGGAAUAAAUGAAACCCUAGGAGCUUUUGAAAAAGUUUUACAUUUGUACAAGUCUGGGCUAUAUCUACAGAACAGGCUUCCUCUUUUAAAAGACUACAUCAUCCUAAAGGGAUUCCGAACCAUGGAAAUGCAGGACUAUAAAUGCUGGCCCUCCUACAGCCAUCUGGGAUGUUUGCUCUCCAUUCAUAAUGCAGAGGAAGCUGCAGCAAUCUGUAACUCUCAACCACAGUGCCAAAGUUUUAUUGUCACUCAACAGAGAACAUGGACAGGUUUUAUAAUGUAACAGAUGUUCGUCACAUGCUUCGUGUGCUAUUAGAAGGAGCUCAGCUACUAUAGACGCCCACUCGCCUCAUUUCGAAGUUGCCUGACUGACUUAAUACCAGACGUCAAUGCGGUACUUUAUAUUAAACGAUCUGCUCCCUCGAGGGAAAGACUUUAAAAAACAGUGAGAGCUCACAUAAAGCAAUUUGGGGAGGAGUCAUUGGGGAGAACAUCAUCUACCAAAAGGAAUGAUACUUUUUAUUUUGCUUUAGGAUGUGAUCUCCAUGCUAUCUUGGACUGAGUAAAAUGGUGCUGUCUUUCUGAUCAAAGCAGAGAUUAUCCGUAGCCAAAUGCUCUGCUCUACACAACCCCACCCAGUUCUUAACCUGUUCCCAGACUCUGCUAUUCCCUGUAAACAUUUGCAGUUUUGGUUCAAAUGUUGUUGCAAUUUUCAGAACCUCGUCUUGCUGCUUUCGGAACUUGUCAGCAAAGGAAUAGAAAUGGCCGUGAGGGACUUGGCUGUAGUAGUCCUAGUUAGUUCAUCUGUCUUUGAAAAUCUAUGAAUAAUGCACCUCUGAAGAACACAUAACUCCCCAAUGAUGGGGCUGCCAGAAGGGAUUUAGUAACAUCAUAAAUGUAAAGAAUCCGUACAUUAGUGAUGAGGCCCAAGGUGCAGUGUUUGGAUCCAGAGCCAUGAUUUUGGAUCUGCCAAUGGGGGUGGGAGGCAGGAGGUCAAGGUAUGCAGUUCAGAAUGCGGGGUUUGGGUUCAGUCCAUUGUGCAGGGUAAGGGGGUAGGAGCGUAGUUCAGAAUGCAGGGUUUGGGUUCAACCCACUGGGGGGAGGAAGUAUCCAGUUCAGAUCCAGGGUUUUGGUUCAGCCCGUAACAGGGCAGGGGAGUAGGUGUGCAGUUCAAAUCCAGAUCCGAUGUUUGGAUGCAGAGUUUGGGUUUGAUGUGUGCAUUUGAAAACACCAGUUCCCUUGUAUCAACCUUGAAGGUUGUCCAGUGUUACUUUCAAUGAAAGAAAUUCUGCUGAGCAAAAUGUUCAAAAUAUUUGUCUGAAGUUCUAUUCUGUAUCCUAAAGAACUGCUAUUCUCCUCUUGACAAUGAGGUGAAGGGGGAGGGUGGUUUUAUUGCUUUGAUAAGAUAAUAUAUUGCAUGGGCUCUCUGCACACAGUUCCUCUGAAAAGGCUUCAGGAUUUCUAUGCAUUUUAAACUGCAAUAAAUGGAGAC